rnacentral:rRNA from 1 species
GCCUAAAGAGAAGCUUGCGGCUGAUUAGCUUGUUGGUGAGGUAAUAGCUCACCAAGGCGACGAUCAGUAUCUGGUUUGAGAGGACGAUCAGACACACUGGAACUGAGACACGGUCCAGACUCCUACGGGAGGCAGCAGUAGGGAAUUUUCCGCAAUGGGCGAAAGCCUGACGGAGCAAUACCGCGUGAGGGAUGACGGCCUAUGGGUUGUAAACCUCUUUUUUCAGGGAGGAAUAAAUGACGUGUACCUGAAGAAUAAGCAUCGGCUAACUCCGUGCCAGCAGCCGCGGUAAGACGGAGGAUGCAAGUGUUAUCCGGAAUCACUGGGCGUAAAGCGUCUGUAGGUGGUCCAAUAAGUCAACUGUUAAAUCUUGAGGCUCAACCUCAAAACCGCAGUCGAAACUAUUAGACUAGAGUAUAGUAGGGGUAAAGGGAACUUCCAGUGGAGCGGUGAAAUGCGUAGAUAUUG